rnacentral:ncRNA from 1 species
UUUAAAGCCCUUUUUACUUUAUACAUAUCUUCAUUAUCUGGCAAAACCUUAAAUAUUUUAUCUAUAUAAUUUUUUUCUUUAAUAAUUCUUAUGCUUAUACUGUAGUUAAGAUCAAGUCGGGUGUAUCACCAGAGGAGAAUGGAAUUCCUAGUGUAGCGGUGAAAUGCGUAGAGAUUAGGAAGAACACCAGUGGCGAAGGCGAUUCUCUGGACCAUAACUGACGCUGAGGCAUGAAAGCGUUGGUAGCAAACAGGAUUAGAUACCCUGGUAGUCCACGCCGUAAACGAUGAGUACUAGGUGUAGGAGGGUCCAACCUUCUGUGCCGCAGUUAACACAAUAAGUACUCCGCCUGGGAAGUACGAUCGCAAGAUUAAAACUCAAAGGAAUUGACGGGGGCCCGCACAAGCAGCGGAGCAUGUGGUUUAAUUCGAAGCAACGCGAAGAACCUUACCUGGACUUGACAUCCCCUGAAUAGUGCAGAGAUGCAUGAAGCCCUUCAGGGCAGGGAGACAGGUGGUGCAUGGUUGUCGUCAGCUCGUGUCGUGAGAUGUUAGGUUAAGUCCUGCAACGAGCGCAACUCCUAUCAUUAGUUGCUACCAUUAAGUUGAGCACUCUAGUGAGAUUGCCCGGGUUAACCGGGAGGAAGGUGGGGAUGACGUCAAAUCAUCUAAGUAGCGGCGAGCGAAAGGGAAAGAGCCCAAACCAGGAACUUGUUCCUGGGGUUGCGGAUAGACCAUAAAUACUGCGAUUUUUUAACUGAAGAGAGCUGGAAGGCUCCGCCGUAGAAGGUAAAAGCCCUGUAAGUGAAAAGGAAGAGCAGUCAGGUCUAAUCCAGAGUAUCACGAGACACGUGAAACCUUGUGGGAAGCAGGGAGGACCACCUCCC